CACAGGCAGAGCAGCGUCAGCAGCUGCUUGAGACAUCUCGCUUCCUCGAAUGUACCUGGCUGUCACACCCAGUUCUGUGGGCCACCUCUUGCUGCAUACUCAGAGGAAACUGGGGCCGAGAAGUCAGGGGUGCCUGGGACCCUCUAGCCUGACUCCAGACCGGGAAACUGAAGCCCCGAGGAGUCACAGGCACUCCAGGAGUCCAAGAGGAAGAUGGAGGAAGAAAGCCAGAGAAAGUGAGGAGGGCGGUUCCUGCUGUAGCCUUUAAGGAGCUAAAGCAUAAGUACCUCAAGGUUAGCGGUACAAAAACCGAUAAUGCCAUAGAAAGCCCACCUGGCCUUGUGCACUUGUGCCCAGUCCUUGCCUCCCUCAGCCUGCAGCCAACACAGGGAUAGGUUGGAGGACCCCACAGCUGCAUGUGCAGCUCCAGGGGCUGCCACAUGCCACCAGACUUCAGGGCGUGUCAGCCAGGCCCAAAGGCCUAGGAUCAGAAGCUAGGGCUUCACUGGUAGCCCAUACAGGGAACCUAUUGUGUGAAAUCUGCAGUUGAACACAUUUAUUCUCUAGCGCUUAGGAAAGAAUCAACAAUGAAGUAAAACCAUGCUUUGGGCUCCCAGUAUCUUUUAGUUCAUCCGUGGAUUCAACCAACUGCAGAUGGGAAAUACUCCUGCCCCCACUUCAUCUGCACUGAACAUAUACUCUUUUCCUUGACAUCCCCCCCCCAAAAAAAAUAUAAUACAGCAACCAUUUACUUUGCAUUUGCAUUGUAUUAGGUAUCAGAAGUAAUCUAGAGAUGAUUUAAAGUAUGGGGAGGAGAUACAAAAGUUAUAUGCAGAUACUGCACCAUUAUAUAAGGAAUUUGGGGGGGGUAUUUAAGGGAUUUUGAUACCCCAGGAUGGUCCUGGAACCAACCCUCCACAUUAUACCACUGUAUAAUGAAGGAAAACAAUACAAAAGACAGUGACGUGGAGUCAUUCCUGGCUCUGUCACUCCUCCUUCUGCACUGGGUAACUUUGCCUCUCUAGGUUUCCCUGGACCACUGGUUAAACAGGAAUAUUAAUGCACACUCACAGGACUGCUGUGGACCUGGAAAGGGAGGAAGCACAGGACAGGGUGUGGAAACAUGAAAUGUCUUACCCCAGGACAUGGUGCCUUUGUCUUAUAUUUUCUCAAUUCAUUAGCAUUUUACUUUUUAUUAUAUUUUAUUGCACUUAUUUCAUUGUUUACUUUCUUUUUCUGAGCACCCAACCAUAAUGCUGAUCUGCCCCCCCAUCUUGCAUAGUUCUCCUCUCUCCCAUCCCCAAAUCUUGAACCAUCCUCAGGUUGUGGGAUCCUGAGUCCUUGGGUCUUUCAGUCAAUCUGAUCUGCCCCUUGCUUCAGGAAGAACUCAAAAGCUCAGCCCUUUGUGAUCUGUCCUAUUCAUUUGCUCAGCCUCACUUACCAGGCCUUCUUGACCUCUUUACCGGGCCACCUACAAAUUGAAAACAAACAUGCAAAACCCUAAUAGAAAAAAAAAUGGACCUAGAUAGGACCAGAAAUUCAUACAAGGUGAGCUGCAAAUGUCUUAUAAGUAUGUGAAAAAACCUGUGCUGGGAAUAUUCAAAUGAAGACAGCAUCCAUGACUAUAAUAAAAAUUCAAAAGAGCAGCAACAUUCGGAGCUAGUGGGGAUAUGGGGCAGUAGACACCUACCCCAGUCACUGUUGAUGGGAGGAUAAAUUGCUACAUAUUUUGCAGAGUAACUGAACAUUAUUUAUUACAAUUAAAACUGUGGCAGGAGAGUUUUACAUACUAACCCAUGUUUUUCCCUCCACCUGUUAUUUUCCCAUCCCCAUCCUCUCCUACCCUCCCCCAAUGCGGGCAGCUAGGCCAUUCCUUGAUCAUUAUCAUCUCAGUAAAGAAGCCAGAGAGAGAAGGCUGCAAGUAUUUUUCCAGCUUUGGAAAAUACAAUCCCUUAAGAGAGAAAAUGGGUUGAGGAAGGAAGCUCCUUCCCACCCUUCAGAGAUUUCCCUGAGUUGGGGGUCUACAUGAGUGGCCUGCAGGGGGAGAGGAAUAUGUCAUAAGAUAUGUCAGGGGCCAUGACACUGGCCCGGAGAGGACAGGGAAGGGAUUCUGGGUGCCCAUGCCUUCCUGUAGUAGGCAUCCCUUCUCCUAGAAAUGCUGGACUGUGGCUGUGGGGUGGCAAGAAGACCUCUGACCAUCUCCCCAACCCACUCCCAAACCUCUCUAUCCCCAAUCACACAGAGCCAAGGCUGAAGUGCCAAGGAGCUGGCUGCACUGCUGAAGCCCCAAGAACCAAUGACAGAGAAACACACAUUCUCACUAUGCCACAAUGCCUGGGCAUUUUUGAGGACCUGAGUGAUUGGAAUUGUAUUGGUCUCCUUUUUCACAUAAGCCACUUGUUUCAUUUUCUUCUCUUAUUGCAUUGGCAGGUUCUCUGAAACAAUGUGGAAUAAGCUGUCCUUCUGAGGGCAGAUCAUCUAUUGCCAUUUCAACUCUUUUAUGGUUCUUUAUCUGCUAACAAGUUUCUACCUAUUAUUGAGCCAACCUGGAUAAUGUAUGUUUUUCUAGAAAUUAUUCUUUUUAUUUUUUGGUUCUGAGGAUUGAACCAUGGUCUUGCACUUCCCAUACGCUCUUUCACUGAUCACUUCCCAUACGCUCUUUCACUGAUCUAUACUCCUAGCCCCUGUAACUACUUUCUUAUUUCUCAUAAUGUUUUUGCUUUUUUCCUUUCCUUUGAAAAAGAAAGGACUCCCUUGAGGGGAGUCCAUGUAAUUAAUUGUUUUUUUAAUAAAGCAUCAUAUUUGGGUUUAUUUAUAUUAUUUUGUUUUCUGUCUCAUUAUAUUCAACAUUUACUUUUAUUAAUUCCCUCCUACUGUGUGUCCUUUUGUAUUAUUUUAAUUUCCUAAGUUAAACACAUAAAUGGAAUUUUCUCAUUUUAUUUUUAAUGACAAAUAAUUUAUGUACUGUAAAUUUUCCUCUGAUUGCAGCUUUAUCUGUGUCCCUUAGGUUUUGAUGUAGUUCCUUUGUGAUUCCUUAAUGAUUUGGGGGGAAGAUCAUUUUUUUUUUAAACUCUUGCCUUCUGUUUUUGCUGAGACAUGAUCAGAGACUAUGACAUGUAGAAUCUUGAUUUUACUGAGACUGUCUAAAGUUUUGCUUGUGGACAAGAACAUGCUUGAUGUCGGGGAACAUAAGAGAAGAAAGGAUAUUCUCUGCUUACAGAGUAAAACCUAUAACAAUUAAACUAAGCUCCUAACUCAACUGUUCAAAUCUUGUCUACUAAGAUCUUCUGUUUUCUGGAAGACAUAGGACAUCAUCAUUAUCCAAGAACACUUGUACUAGAAGAAAACAUUUUAUAGUGAAUCUACUGAAGGAAGGGCAAAAUUUCAUUCAUAAGGCAAAAAGACUUUACUGCUAUUAUAUACUGAGAAGUAAAACUAAAUAUUAUAAAAAGUAAUUAUCCAAUAUUACUGAAAUUUAGGUUAAAAUGUAAAAAUGUAACAAUUUUUAAAAUAAAUAUAAAUUCAGUAUACUUUCCCAUAUGUAUGCUAUACUUGUUAUACUUCUUAUUUUUAAGUUUUUGCUUUGCAUAAAAGCAAUAAACCUCAGCUGAAAACAGUGGCACACAUCGGUAAGCUCAGCAACUCAGGAGCCUGAGGCAGGAGGAUCACAAGUUCGAGGCCAACCUCAGUAAUUCAGUGAGGCCCUAAACAAUGUAGGGAGACCCUGUCUCAAAGUAAAAAUAAAAAGGGUCGAAGAUGUGUGUCAGUGGUUAUGCACCCCUGGCUUCGAUCUCCAGUAUCAAAACAACAACAACAAAACAAUAAACCUCAUAAUGACUUUCUGAAGUAUAAUGUAUCUUAUAAAAUCGUGUGAUAACAUGACAAGACAACCCCCGGUUCACAUUUGACUUUGGCAAUACUAUUAUGUUUUGCAAAAGGGAAUUUAUGGUUUUAGCUAUUGUCCUAAGGGCCUCUCAAUUCUUUGCAGUCAGGAUUGCACUCUACAGAAACCCAAUUUAGAAACUUAAACAAAAUAGGCACUUAUUUUUCUCAUAUGACAAAAAAAAAAAAA